rnacentral:tRNA from 1 species
GAUCCCUUAGCUCAGUCGGUAGAGCAACUGACUCUUAAUCAGUGGGUCUAGGGUUCGAAUCCCUAAGGGAUCACCA